ensembl:lncRNA
UCUCAGAAGGGCGACUGGCCGCUCUGUCUUCCCCAGGUGUUAUUUUCAUAUAAUAGUACCCCCCAUCAGAGUACUGGAGAAUCCCCGCACUUUUUGAUGUUUGGCCAGGAACCUCGGCUCCCAGUGGAUUUCCUGCUUGGGAGAGUCCAGGAGCCGGAGGCCGGCUGUGUGCAGAGGUGGGUAUUAGAACAUCAGAAUAGGCUCAAAGUAGCUUUUGAGGGGGUGCGAGAGCAGCUACGGACUGCGGCGGACCGCCGCAAGGCCCGCCAUGAUGGACAGGUCCGGGAGGAACCCUUACGGGAGGGUCAGUUGGUGCUCCUUCGAGCUUUUAAUGUGAGAGGUAGACAUAAGAUACACGAUCUCUGGGGCCCAUUAGUAUAUCAGAUUGUAAGAGCAGGUGAGCAGGUAUAUUCUAUUGCGCCAGUGGACAAUCUGGGCAAAGUGAGACAAGUACAUCGCUCUGCAAUAAAGCCAUGGGUUGGUAAAAGUCCUUUGGUUGACCCCCCUAAGUGUAGUAUGUUGGAGCCAAUAGCACCCACUGAGGAAGAAGAGGAGACUGGAGAUUGGUUUGUAGUGGUGCCUGAGACCCCUCAGGAGGGGCAGAGGUCAGUACCACCAGUUGAGACCCCACCAGGAGUUGCCGGAGGGGACCAAACUUUUGCAGAUGGUCUUCAAGAGGAGGCAGAUUAUACAGAGGUUAUAGUACCCGCCCCAGGUAAUGUGAUGGUGGGAGUAGGGUCACCAGAGCUUACUCCUCUCGAGGAGGAUACGGGGGUAAGGCGUACAAGGAGGUUGAUGGCAGGGUACCAUUCAAAUCCACAUCACCUCCCUCGCACAAUAGAAAGACCAAGGUAUGAAGUGGGUACAGGCAAUAGUCCGGUAUCUAGUGCUGUGGUUGCCUGGUUUCGACCCUGGCAUUAAAAUCAUAGAUGUAUAAAAAGUAUUCAUCGUCGGGCCGACGACGAAAAUGUCGGGGGUAGAUUGUGACCAGAUGCUCUCCUCCC